AAAUAAAUAAAAAUGAGACUAAAUUGGAAUAUCUAGAAUUCUCUUCAAUUCUCUUCAUUUUCAUCAGCUAAAAAAUAGCCAUGGAAGAGGGUUCAAGUUGGUUUUCAUACUCUAGCUUCAUAUCAAGAGAAACGAGAUUCAAGUCGCAAUCGAGGGAAAAACAAAGUUUACGAGGAAUAGGCUCGAUUGCUAAUAUUUUGUAUCGAGUUUUGACAAGCCGGCUUGAGAAUCAGGAUAGGUCGAAGGCUCGUUCACACUAUCCGAAGACUUAAAUUGGUAAAAUGGCUUGUAUAUUUUGAGUGUGGCAUGUAUAGCAAUAUACUCACUUUGUGUAAAUGAUCAUAUGAUAUGGUUAUGGUUUGGUAAGAAAAGGGUUUGUAAAUGAUUAGCUAUUGGAAUGGUUAAUCGAGUUUAUAUAUGAUAACAUGUAUGCUUUAUGUCUUAACUAAA